CUUUUGGUAACUUAGGUAGUAGUUACAAACCUGCCUUCGUUUUGCUACUGUAAUUGCUGCUUCAAGACCUGGAUUAUGGAGGGUCAACGAGAGGAAAAGAAGCCAUCACCCUCGCUUGCUGUACAAUAUAACUCACGAUGGAAGGAGAGUCAAGGAAGCCUCAGGGGAAAGUGUGCAGAUGAGGACAAAGGCCAGGCGUUGAAUCUAGAAAAAGGCUCAGUGGAAACAGCAACGGCUGUGGAGCUGGGAGAGAAAGCAAAAUCCUAACAACAAUUUCAUGCUGUUUCACAGCAGCGGAGCCAGCAAAAAAACAGCCACGACUCUGCUAGUAGUGCCCACCCAUCCUGUUCUCAUCUAGAACUUCCAAAUGAGGGUUCCCCCACCUCUCAAAAAGAGAGAGAAGAUACUAUGGAACUGAAGAAGUGAAGUAGCAACGAAAGCCUGCACCCACACUAAGUUGGCAGCAUCAGAGUUAAAUCAACAAUGAGAUUAUGACUGGGAAAUCAUUUCCCCCCAAUUUUUCCUAAAGAAAAUAUAAACCCAACCAUGCAAAAUGUUCAUAGCUUAAAAAUAACACUGGGAGUCUUUCCUUUCCCACUUAAAAGCAUUUUACACCAAUUAAAAUGAAUAGUAUUUAUUUUACUCAUGAUUACUCAUGGCCAUUAAAACUUCUAAUGGCACAUGAAUGGAACGUGAAGUUUUUACACGGACAAGUUGCACUAAGGGCCUUUCUGCAAGAACAGUUAAAGUAUGCUUCCAAUUACAUAUGGGUUCUUUAGACAAACAACACAACACACCACACAA